UCCAGAGGUCUCAAGCGUUGUUCGGAUUCAUUGGGCGUAAAGGGUGCGUAGGUGGUUAGGUAAGUCGGAUGUGAAAUCCCGGGGCUCAACCUCGGAACUGCAUUCGAUACUGCCUGACUGGAGUACUGGAGAGGAGAUUGGAAUUUACGGUGUAGCAGUGAAAUGCGUAGAUAUCGUAAGGAAGACCAGUGGCGAAGGCGGAUCUCUGGACAGUUACUGACACUGAGGCACGAAGGCCAGGGGAGCAAACGGG
rnacentral:rRNA from 1 species